rnacentral:rRNA from 1 species
AGGACGAACGCUGGCGGCGCGCUUAACACAUGCAAGUCGAGCGAGAACCAGUCCUUCGGGACUGGGGACAGCGGCGAACGGGUGAGUAACACGUGGGUAAUCUGCCCUCGAUUCUGGGAUAGCCCGGGGAAACCCGGAUUAAUACCGGAUAGCCUCUCGAGCUUUCGAGCUCGUGAGAAAAGGUAGCGUUCGGCCUCCGAUCGAGGAUGAGCCCGCGGCGGAUUAGGCUUGGUUAGGUGGGGUAAUGGCCUACCGAAGGCGACGAUCCGUAGCUGGUCUGAGAGGACGAUCAGCCACACUGGGACUGAGACACGGCCCAGACUCCGUAACGGGAGCAGC